AUUGAACGCUGGCGGCAGGCCUAACACAUGCACGUCGAACGAGUGGCGGACGGGUGAGUAAUGUCUGGGAAACUGCCCGAUGGAGGGGGAUAACUACUGGAAACGGUAGCUAAUACCGCAUACCAUCGGAUGUGCCCAUAUGGGAUUAGCUAGUAGGUGGGGUAACGGCUCACCUAGGCGACGAUCCCUAGCUGGGAGGAGAGGUUGACCAGCCACACUGGAACUGCGACACGGUCCAGACUCCUAAGGGAGGCAGCAGUGUGGAAUAUGGCAAAAUGGGCGCAAGCCUGAUGCAGCCAUGCCGCGUGGAUGAAGAAGGCCUUCGGGUUGUAAAGUACUUUCAGCGGUGAGGCGUUACUCGCAGAAGAAGCACCGGCUAACUCCGUGCCAGCAGCCGCAGUAAUUC
rnacentral:rRNA from 1 species